rnacentral:rRNA from 1 species
AUUGAACGCUGGCGGCAUGCCUUACACAUGCAAGUCGAGCGAAUGAAGUUCCUUCGGGAACGGAUUUAGCGGCGGACGGGUGAGUAACACGUGGGCAACCUGCCUCAUAGAGGGGAAUAGCCUUCCGAAAGGGAGAUUAAUACCGCAUAAGAUUGUAGUACCGCAUGGUACAGCAAUUAAAGGAGCAAUCCGCUAUGAGAUGGGCCCGCGGCGCAUUAGCUAGUUGGUGAGGUAACGGCUCACCAAGGCGACGAUGCGUAGCCGACCUGAGAGGGUGAUCGGCCUCAUUGGGACUGAGACACGGCCCAGACUCCUACGGGAGGCAGCAGGGGGGAAUAUUGCACAAUGGGGGAAACCCUGAUGCAGCAACGCCGCGUGAGUGAUGACGGCCUUCGGGUUGUAAAGCUCUGUCUUCAGGGACGAUAAUGACGGUACCUGAGGAGGAAGCCACGGCUAACUACGUGCCAGCCGCCGCCGUAA